UACGAAGGGGGCUAGCGUUGCUCGGAAUCACUGGGCGUAAAGGGUGCGUAGGCGGGUCUUUAAGUCAGGGGUGAAAUCCUGGAGCUCAACUCCAGAACUGCCUUUGAUACUGAGGAUCUUUAGUUCGGGAGAGGUGAGUGGAACUGCGAGUGUAGAGGUGAAAUUCGUAGAUAUUCGCAAGAACACCAGUGGCGAAGGCGGCUCACUGGCCCGAUACUGACGCUGAGGCACGAAAGCGUGGGGAGCAAACAGG
rnacentral:rRNA from 1 species